rnacentral:lncRNA from 1 species
UAGAAAAAAGAAACCUAGGCCCCUCAUGUGCCGUUUGCACAUCGACCCUUCAAAAAUGGAUCUCUGAAUCCCUGCUCAGGCUCCGACGGUGACAGAGAGAGCACGGACUCAAUGGCGAGGUAUUUCCCCCUUUUUAGUGCUACUGUUUCUUUCUUUACUAAACACCCCCUUUUUGAAUCUUAAGCAAAAAAACAAAGUGCUCAUAAUAAAAGGAAAAAGAAGAACUCAGAAAUCACCUUUCUCUUUGAUUUCUUUGAAUAUUUUUUUUACAAUCAGUGUCUGUUUUUUCUUUGUAUUUUUUUGUAUAUUUUUUAUAUGCCCCCGUUUACAGCAUUCGAGUGGCCUUUUUAUGGCCCCCCUUUACAAAAAUGAAAUGAAAAGAAAAAAAUAAAAUAAAAUGCUCCCCCCCCAAAUCCCCUAUGUUGCCCCUAUUCUGCUAUCUUUCUCUGCUUGUUUUCUUGUGUAUUUUGCAGGUACGAGGGCAGAGGCCGACGUGGCGUGUACGGAGGCAAAACGAGCAGUGGUGGCGUAUGUGCGAAGGCGCGCACGCUGGCAGAGGCUCGGCACGUGAGGACGAAGGCCCUGGGUGGCUGCGGCGUGGCACGUAUAGAGGCUAACUGGUGUGCGUGGAGGCUACUAGGGUUUGCCACAGUGCAUUAUGAUAUUGGGCCUUUUGUGCUGAAUCGGUUUGCUGGGUUUAGGUUUAGGGCUAGGCUAAUUUGGGUAGUUUGGGUUAAAAUGAGUUGGGCCACAUUGGGCCUUUGUAACUGGACAUUUUUAUUAUUUAAAUCUGGUUUUAAAAUGCCCGGGUAAAAAUUGGUUAUUACAUAAACAAUUCACAACCUUAUUUUUUUUAAUAUGUGAGAUUGUGCUAUUUCCAUAAAUGAGACUUGUUUUUCCA